rnacentral:misc_RNA from 1 species
UUUCCGUAGGUGAACCUGCGGAAGGAUCAUUACCGAGUGUUGGUCUCUGAGGCCCGGCCUCGCUCCCUGUGUUUUUUUGACCUUGUUGCCUUGGCGCGCCCCCCUCGCUGAGAGACCGCCGGAAGCUCACCUCCUUGGGCCCGUUCCCGCCAGUAGCCCACUUAAACUCUUAAUAACACUGUAGUCCGGGUUACUGGAUAUAAUGAAAAAAAACUUUCAACAACGGAUCUCUUGGUUCUG